rnacentral:rRNA from 1 species
AGUGAACGCUGGCGGUAGGCCUAACACAUGCAAGUCGAACGGCAGCACAGUAAGAGCUUGCUCUUACGGGUGGCGAGUGGCGGAUGGGUGAGGAAUACAUCGGAAUCUACUUUUUCGUGGGGGAUAACGUAGGGAAACUUACGCUAAUACCGCAUACGACCUACGGGUGAAAGCAGGGGAUCUUCGGACCUUGCGCGAUUGAAUGAGACGAUGUCGGAUUAGCUAGUUGGCGGGGUAAAGGCCCACCAAGGCGACGAUCCGUAGCUGGUCUGAGAGGAUGAUCAGCCACACUGGAACUGAGACACGGUCCAGACUCCUACGGGAGGCAGCAGUGGGGAAUAUUGGACAAUGGGCGCAAGCCUGAUCCAGCCAUGCCGCGUGGGUGAAGAAGGCCUUCGGGUUGUAAAGCCCUUUUGUUGGGAAAGAACAGCAGCAGGUUAAUACCCCGCUGUUCUGACGGUACCCAAAGAAUAAGCACCGGCUAACUUCGUG